UAAAGAUUCAUCGCUGAUAGAUAGGCAUGCGUUCCAUUAGGCAGUUGGCGGGGUAACGGCCCACCAAACCGACGAUGGAUAGGGGUUCUGAGAGGAAGGUCCCCCACAUUGGUACUGAGACACGGACCAAACUCCUACGGGAGGCAGCAGUGAGGAAUAUUGGUCAAUGGGCGCGAGCCUGAACCAGCCAAGUCGCGUGAGGGAUGAAGGUUCUAUGGAUCGUAAACCUCUUUUAUAAGGGAAUAAAGUGUGGGACGUGUCCUAUUUUGUAUGUACCUUAUGAAUAAGGAUCGGCUAACUCCGUGCCAGCAGCCGCGGUAAUACGGAGGAUCCGAGCGCUAUCCGGAUUUAUUGGGUUUAAAGGGUGCGUAGGCGGCCUUUUAAGUCAGCGGUGAAAGUCUGUGGCUCAACCAUAGAAUUGCCGUUGAAACUGGGGGGCUUGAGUAUGUUUGAGGCAGGCGGAGUGCGUGGUGUAGCGGUGAAAUGCUUAGAUAUCACGCAGAACCCCGAUUGCGAAGGCAGCCUGCCAAGCCAUGACUGACGCUGAUGCACGAAAGCGUGGGGAUCAAACAGGAUUAGAUACCCUGGUAGUCCACGCAGUAAACGAUGAUCACUAGCUGUUUGCGAUACAGUGUAA
rnacentral:rRNA from 1 species